UAAUUAAAGUCCUGAAGCCGGCUGUAUACGAAGGCUGGAUAUAGGGCUAUCCUAUAUAGGAAUAGCAAUUUUUUCAACAUUUCUCAAAAUGCAUGAAUUAAUUAAAGCUGUGAAACAACUGAUAUAUGGACACCGCGAUUAGUAAAAGGAAACUUUAAUUUAUAAACACUAAAGUUUAAUCUGGGUUAUACACCAAUCGAAGGUCGAUUGUAGAAACUUUGAAAAAC